rnacentral:rRNA from 1 species
UGGGGAAUUUUGGACAAUGGGCGAAAGCCUGAUCCAGCAAUGCCGCGUGUGUGAAGAAGGCCUUCGGGUUGUAAAGCACUUUUGUCCGGAAAGAAAUCCUUGGCUCUAAUACAGUCGGGGGAUGACGGUACCGGAAGAAUAAGCACCGGCUAACUACGUGCCAGCAGCCGCGGUAAUACGUAGGGUGCAAGCGUUAAUCGGAAUUACUGGGCGUAAAGCGUGCGCAGGCGGUUUGCUAAGACCGAUGUGAAAUCCCCGGGCUCAACCUGGGAACUGCAUUGGUGACUGGCAGGCUAGAGUAUGGCAGAGGGGGGUAGAAUUCCACGUGUAGCAGUGAAAUGCGUAGAGAUGUGGAGGAAUACCGAUGGCGAAGGCAGCCCCCUGGGCCAAGUACUGACGCUCAUGCACGAAAAGCGUGGGGGAGCAAACAGGAUUAGAUACCCUGGUAGUCCACGCCCUAAACGAUGUCAACUAGUUGUUGGGGAUUCAUUUCCUUAGUAACGUAGCUAACGCGUGAAGUUGACCGCCUGGGGAGUACGGUCGCAAGAUUAAAACUCAAA